AAAAAAAAAAAAAAAAGAAGGGAGAUCUGGCAAAUGUAUGGGUUUGAAAUGGAUAUCUUUCCUAAAAAAUUCUUCUUUAUAUCUUUUCAUUUCGUUGUUUGCAUUGUUAACUGAGAUAGGAGGAGAAUGUAUUUUGACUAUUGUGCUUAGGUUUUGAUUUGAAGCAUUUGUGAUGAUUUGGCAUAUAAGAUUGUUUACAGGUUUUAUGCAUCGGUAAAGUUACUUUACUUGUGACCUGGAGAACAUGGGUUCGAGUCACAGAAAUAUUCUCUCUACAAAGAAUGGGGUAAGGUUGCAUAUAUUAACUCUUACUAGAGCUCAAUUGUGGGAUGUUUCAUGCACAAGGGUAUCUAAAAUAAGUGCUCUCAUGGAGAGGAUGGUACAGAUAUUAUUUUAUUUUUAUCAGGUUAUAUAUGUAUUCCAUUUAAAAUGACAGCAUUUAGGCUGAAUGAACUGCCUUUUAUAAGUGAAAUGCAAUUUUUUGGUGCUUGCUUGUUCAUAGAAUGAUACUGUCUUCUCAAAAAGCCUGCUGCUUAGUUGUAAUAGAUCAUCAAAUCUUGAACAAGGUAAACAGGUCAAAUUUAAAAAAAAAUAUUCUGAGUAACUUCAUGUCAUUGUAAACAAUUGUCUCAUUUGUUUGCCAAUUAUGCAAAUUUUAUGAGGGUCUGCACCAGAAACAAAUAUAUUUGAUAUUAUUUUGACCAAUACAGAAUUUUGUGGGCAGUGUAUAAUGCAAGUUAAGGUGUCGGUCUUGGACUUGAGAUGUUAAAUCUCUAAUAUCCCUAUAAACUUAUUAGUUAGUCAUGUAUUUUAAAAAAUUACAUUAGUUAGUCUUUGUAUUUUAAUUUGGUUAAUUUGGUUAACUUUUAAUCUUUACGGUUAUUUUAGGCGUUAUUGAAGCAUGAAAAAGUAAAAAAUGCCCUUGUUCCUUAAUUAGUUUCAAUUAACGUAAUAAAUUCCCAAUUUUUCUUCAAUCCUCAAAUCCGAAAUUCCCUCUUCCAUUUCAUAGCUUAAAGCUUCAAUUAAUUAUUUAG
rnacentral:misc_RNA from 1 species